GGACUCAUGCUGUCUAGAUGGCUGGGUGAAAUUUGAAGGACGUUGCUUCAAGUAUCAGGCCACCAGCAUGGACUGGGCUUCUGCUGAGAAAUACUGUCUGAAUCUCGGGGCAAACUUGAUCUCAAUACACAGCGAAGGUGAAUAUCAGUGGUUCAAGUCCUUUGUCCUUGCUGCAGACCCCAAGAACAAUCCAACAUGGAUCGGCCUUAAUAACUGUCAGAAGAACAACCACUGGUUGACCAACCACUGACCAAAUUGAUUUUCACCAAGUGGAGUCCAACUCAACCCAAUUUUGUAGGUACAGAGUGCUGUGUGGUAAGUGAAAACUUCUUACAUAGCUGUGUUAAGAAUCUAUCUUUUAUAACUUCAGGGUUUGGUGAUUCAUUUUCAAUUAAAAUGUUAUGGCAUGUUUAAAUCCAUAUUCUUUGCUGUGUCUGCAGAUGAGAAGGACUGGCUUGAUGCUCCAUGUGAGUGGACCUAUCCCUUUGUUUGUGUCAAGAGGCCUAACUGAAAUGCUCCCAGCCUCAACUUGGCAACUAUAAUACAAUGUUGGAUUUUUCUUCCUUGUCACUGAUGGAUUUACAAAAACCUCACUGUGGCAAGUUACCAUAAUUUCAGCA